CCUACGGGAGGCAGCAGUAGGGAAUAUUGCUCAAUGGGGGAAACCCUGAAGCAGCAACGCCGCGUGGAGGAUGAAGGUUUUCGGAUUGUAAACCCCUUUUGUUAGAGAAGAUAAUGACGGUAUCUAACGAAUAAGCACCGGCUAACUACGUGCCAGCAGCCGCGGUAAUACGGAGGGUGCAAGCGUUACUCGGAAUCACUGGGCGUAAAGAGCGCGUAGGCGGGUUAGCAAGUCAGAUGUGAAAUCCUAAGGCUUAACCAUAGAACUGCAUUUGAAACUGUUAUUCUAGAGUAUGGGAGAGGUAGGUGGAAUUCGUGGUGUAGCGGUAAAAUGCGUAGAGAUCAAGAGGAAUACUCAUUGCGAAGGCGGCCUGCUAGAACAUAACUGACGCUGAGGCGCGAAAGCGUGGGGAGCAAACAGGAUUAGAUACCCGAGUAGUC
rnacentral:rRNA from 1 species